ensembl:lncRNA
GUAUCUGGGCUGCAGCCACACUUCCUGCACUGCUGAGGAACACGUCUGCGCAAUGGGGUGGAAGUUUUCAUGGACUCAAUCCCCCGAGUCUUGAAAGAUGCAGAAAUAACAUUGGGUGGCAGAGUGAUGGUGAUGUUGAGUAGCAUUCACUUUGAGAGAACAAAAUGAAAGAGAAACAGAAGUAAAGGCGGAGUCAAUGAAGCUGCCCGUCUAUUUCAGGCACAUCCUACAGACACAAGAGCUGCUGUACAGAACUGCUAUAUGGUUUGUGCAUGUUUUGUGAACAUCUGGAGCAAGGCUGGAUUUAUGAACAAACAUAAAGGACCUCCACUUAAAGAAAUGAGAAUUUAUGAA